AAUUGGAGGGCAAGUCUGGUGCCAGCAGCCGCGGUAAUUCCAGCUCCAAUAGCGUAUAUUAAAGUUGUUGCAGUUAAAAAGCUCGUAGUUGAAUUUCGGGAUCAAUAUUUCGGUCAUGCCGUUGGUAUGCACUGUUAUCAUUGAUUUCUCACCUUCUAAAGAACCGUAAUGCCAUUAAUUUGGUGUUACGGGGAAUUAGGACUGUUACCUUGAAAAAAUUAGAGUGUUUAAAGCAGGCUCACGCUUGAAUACAUUAGCAUGGAAUAAUGAAAUAGGACAUCCGAUUCUAUUUUGUUGGUUUCUAGGAUCGAUGUAAUGAUUAAUAGGGAUAGUUGGGGGCAUUAGUAUUCAAUUGUCAGAGGUGAAAUUCUUGGAUUUAUUGAAGACUAACUACUGCGAAAGCAUUUGCCAAGGAUGUUUUCAUUAAUCAAGAACGAAAGUUAGGGGAUCGAAGACGAUCAGAUACCGUCGUAGUCUUAACCAUAAACUAUGCCGACUAGGGAUCGGAUGAUGUUAAUUUUUUAAUGACCCAUUCGGCGCCUUACGGGAAACCAAAGUGU
rnacentral:rRNA from 1 species